UCGUCCCCGGCAACGUAGAGGUCGUAGGACUUCCAGGUGUGGUCGAGCGGGCACGGGUUGCCGGCGUCGAGGCGGUCCCAUGGCUUCCCCUUGCCUGACCAGUGCAUGAGGCUGACCGGCCCGUCGUGGAGCGGGCGGCAGCUGCCGCGCACGUUGUCGCCGCCGAGGCCGUGCUGGUUCCAGCGGUGGUCGACGGCCUCGACCUCGCCGGCGAAGACGAGGAGGAAGGGCGGCAGCGAGCCCAGCUCGUAGAUGCGCUUCUCCUUCUGGAUCUCCAUCCACCGCUCGAUGCGGUGGCGGUAGUUGCCGGCGCGCCAGCGGCGGAGGUCGAUGACCAUGACGCCGGUGUUGAAGUAGCAGGGCGGGCGGCGGCGGCCGGCGAAGACGCGGCGGCCGAGGCCUGGGUCGGACCAGAACGCCGGGGUGAAGUAGCGGGAGAAGUUGGCGUGGCAGUACUCGGGCGCCGCGACGACGGCGGCGGCGGGGAGGCGCGUCUCCCAGAGGCGCCGCACGUCGUCGACGGCGAGCACGUCGGAGUCGAGGUAGAUCGCGCGGGGCACGCAGCGCGGGAGCAGGUCGGCGAGGUGGUUCCGCGCGUAGUUGAGCGGCGACUCCAGCGCGGCGCGCACGGACGCCGAGAUGAGCCCCGCCACGGCCUCCGCCCUGAACGCGUAGAUCUCGAACCGCAGCGACGGGAACGACGCCGCCACGGCGCGCCGCAGGUCACCACCACCCCCAACCUCCUCCUCCUCCGCCAAGAAGUGGAAGAAGAGCGACUCCGGGCAGGAGGCGUGCUUGAGCAGCGAGUACACCGCCGCCAUGGACCCGCGCAGGUAGUGCGCGUCCAGCGUCAUCGAGAUGUGCACCAGCCCAGCGUCACACACCCCCGCCGCCGCCGUCGCCGCCGCGGGACACCCUUCCCCGUUCCUGUACUCCGGCGCCUCAGCGAACCUCGGCAGCGCCGCCGCCUGAGCGCAGACGGCCAGCAGCAGCGCCACCGCAGCCGCCGCCGCCGCGGCCCGCGCCGGCAUCGC
rnacentral:sRNA from 1 species